rnacentral:rRNA from 1 species
UAUCAUUUUUGGUUAGGCUGUCAGCCAGGCUAUACAGUGAAACUGCGAAUGGCUCAUUAAAUCAGUUAUCGUUUAUUUGAUAGUACCUUACUACUUGGAUAACCGUGGUAAUUCUAGAGCUAAUACAUGCUAAAAAUCCCGACCUCCGGAAGGGAUGUAUUUAUUAGAUAAAAAACCAAUGCCUUCGGGCUCCUUGGUGAUUCAUGAUAACUUAACGAAUCGUAUGGCCUUGCGCCGGCGAUGGUUCAUUCAAAUUUCUGCCCUAUCAACUUUCGAUGGUAGGAUAGUGGCCUACCAUGGUUUCAACGGGUAACGGGGAAUUAGGGUUCGAUUCCGGAGAGGGAGCCUGAGAAACGGCUACCACAUCCAAGGAAGGCAGCAGGCGCGCAAAUUACCCAAUCCCAAUUCGGGGAGGUAGUGACAAUAAAUACUGAUACAGGGCUCUUUUGGGUCUUGUAAUUGGAAUGAGUACAAUUUAAAUCCCUUAACGAGGAACAAUUGGAGGGCAAGUCUGGCCCCC